UCGCGGGACCAGAGAUGGUCCUUUCAGUUCGGCUGGACCCCACACAGGUGCUGCAUGGCUGUCGUCAGCUCGUGUCGUGAGAUGUUCGGUUAAGUCCGGCAACGAGCGCAACCCACACUUUCAGUUGCCAUCAUUCAGUUGGGUACUCUGGAAGAACUGCCGGUGAUAAGCCGGAGGAAGGUGUGGAUGACGUCAAGUCCUCAUAGCCCUUACGGGUUGGGCUACACACGUGCUACAAUGGUGGUGACAAUGGGUUAAUCCCAAAAAGCCAUCUCAGUUCGGAUUGUCGUCUGCAACUCGGCGGCAUGAAGUCGGAAUCGCUAGUAAUCGCGGAUCAGCACGCCGCGGUGAAUACGUUCCCGGGCCUUGUACACACCGCCCGUCACACCAUGGGAGUCAGUUGCUCCAGAAGUGGCCGCGCCAACCCGCAAGGGAGGCAGGUCCCUAAGGAGUGGCUGGUAACUGGGGUGAAGUCGUAACAAGGUAGCCGUAGGGGAACC
rnacentral:rRNA from 1 species